rnacentral:snoRNA from 1 species
ACUUCAUGAUUUGGACAUUGAUAAAACUUACCAUUAAACCUCUCCCAAGCUUCAAACAAUGGUUCUCCCUUCAUUUGCCAAAAAUUUACAAUCUCAUCCCGCUUUU